UACGAGGGGUGCAAGCGUUGCUCGGAAUUAUUGGGCGUAAAGGGUGCGUAGGCGGUCGGGUAAGUCUGAUGUGAAAUCUCACAGCUUAACUGUGAAACUGCAUUGGAUACUAUCCGGCUAGAGGAAUGGAGGGGAGACUGGAAUACUUGGUGUAGCAGUGAAAUGCGUAGAUAUCAAGUGGAACACCAGUGGCGAAGGCGAGUCUCUGGACAUUUCCUGACGCUGAGGCACGAAAGCCAGGGGAGCAAACGGG
rnacentral:rRNA from 1 species